GUAAGGAAUAUUGGACAAUGGACGCAAGUCUGAUCCAGCCAUGCCGCGUGAAGGAUUAAGGUCCUCUGGAUUGUAAACUUCUUUUAUAAGGGACGAAAAAAGGCUUUUCUAAGUCGUCUGACGGUACCUUAUGAAUAAGCACCGGCUAACUCCGUGCCAGCAGCCGCGGUAAUACGGAGGGUGCAAGCGUUAUCCGGAUUCACUGGGUUUAAAGGGUGCGUAGGCGGGCAGGUAAGUCAGUGGUGAAAUCCUAGAGCUUAACUCUAGAACUGCCAUUGAUACUAUCUGUCUUGAAUAAUGUGGAGGUAAGCGGAAUAUGUCAUGUAGCGGUGAAAUGCUUAGAUAUGACAUAGAACACCUAUUGCGAAGGCAGCUUACUACGCAUAUAUUGACGCUGAGGCACGAAAGCGUGGGGAUCAAACAGGAUUAGAUACCCUGGUAGUCC
rnacentral:rRNA from 1 species